rnacentral:lncRNA from 1 species
GCUUCUUCUGUUCAUUUCUGGGACUCGUGUGGGUCACACCUCCAUGCAUCUGUCAGGUGGUCUAAUGCAUCCCUAAUUCUCGGGGACCCUGUCAGUGCCUUGCAGUAGCAUCUAAUGCUUAUUUUCCAAAAUUGGCCCAGCCUCGACCUUGGUCCUACACGCUAUUUACGUCUCUAUCUAUAUUUCGUGUGCCUCUUCUUUUGUUAUGUCCUUGUUCAGAUCAGGAUGUGCCAAAUAUUUUUAAAUGAACCCCUUCCAUUUGCUGUGUUCUUCAAUCAUAUCCUUUCAAAUGACUCUGCCAAAUUCUAGAUUUUUCGCUAGCAAGCUUCUGUCCUAGAUUCCACCUCUUGCUUUCUCUCAUUACUUCUUUCUCAGCACUCAUGACUUCUGCUAAGGAUCUCUAGAUAGUUCCAAAAGGUCUCAGAAAGUUUUUAUUCUUCUUUGAGGUUUAAUAGAUAAACUGUAAUGAUUUUAGGGCUACAAUAUAGAUCCCUUUUACCCCCCUCUUCUAACCUUGUGCUACUCUCUCAGUUCAACCCCUCCCCAUAUUUUUUCUGCAUAGUUUUUGGGGUAUUCUCACUGACAUCUCACAGAUAUCAAUUCAUCUUUCAUAUUUGCCACCACAAUCUGAGCUUGGAAAUGAUUGAAAUAUAUCUAAUCAAAAGAAGUGAGUAUAGAACUUGUUCACCAACUAUAGUAAUUAGAAAACUAGUGAACCUGCUUGAAACUAGCAAGAAUUCAAGAACAAACAUGAGAAAACACUGUUUUAUAUAGCAUGUAGGUAGCAUAGACAAGGUUAUACAAGUUGAGAACAUUAAUAACUUUUAGAAGGCUUUAAACUUAUGGAUAAUUCUUUAGACUGCAUCCUUAACCUUUGGAGGGUGAGGUCACAUGGGAGCCUGGGCCACAAACCAUCUUCAAAAACCAAACACUAAGUUUGUGGACAAUUCGUAAAACCCAGACAGUAUUUCUUAAGAUUUUACGCUGUCCAGAGGGCUGAACUUCUGACAUAAAAAUCUUUAUCUCAAAGAUGCAAAUGUGAACCAAAUGUCCUUUUUAAAACAGUAGCUAGUUAUGGCACUAGAGAUGUUUAAGCCCCAGGCUUUACAAACAAUUUUAUAAUAUCAUUAGCCUAAAGAUUGCCCCUGCCUCUAUUUCAUAACACCAACAUUUGCAAAUCUGGGCUUUUGCAAUUUUUUCUGUUUCUUUCAAUGUCACUGGAACUCUAGCAUCUGCUUUCAGAGAAUAAACUUUGCUUUCUCUCCUCAAACCCAUGGAGAAUGACAAAGGAGAGGAAUGAUGAACUUCUUUUAUGCCCUUAGCCUCAGUCACGGCCAGCCUGAUCAUAUUUCCUUUGGGUUCUGGCUAUAUUGGCCAAUCAUUUUCAUGGCUGGUUUAAAGAGCAUGUGCCUAAUUUAGAGCUGCUGACACAGGGCAGGGAAACAGCCACCUGGCAAAUGCCUUGGGCUUUGAAUGAUUCCACUAACUUGAAGCCUAGGCCAAGUUCCCCUCAAGUUGUACUGAGGUUUGUAAACCUUUUGGCAAUGCUGGGCCAGGACUGGACCAGGUAAUCAGAGUUUCAUGGUCCUCAGCUAGGUGUGAAAUUUUAAUCAGAGGGAUUUUAUUUUUGCAAAAAUAUAAGGCACCACCAGACAUGUCACAUAGAAUUAGGCACUGGAUUCACUGAAGUUCAAGAUGAGUCAGAUGGUUUCUUACAAAAUGGCAAAUCCUGUCAUCUUUGAUGGGCCAUUAAAAAUAAAUGGAAUCAGCGUAGUUCUAUUACCCCCUUCGUCUUAUGGGGAAAUAUUACAGUAUAAUUUUUAGUUCAUCCACAUUUUAGAACUGGAUAAUUACUUUCCAUUUUAAUUGCAAGAUGGCACAGAAAAUGCAUAAGCUUCAGCCCAAAAAUACACUCUCUGAUCCAGUAGAUAUUGUAGAAACCACUUGCUAUUAUAUCCAAUAUGGUCUCCAGACGCACUCCAGACUCUCAGAAGUUCAUCUAGAAUGGUUUCAGCAAUCCUUAUAUCUGAAAAAUAAACACUAGACACAGAAGACAUUGGGACAUCAGGCUAAAGUGAGAGCAGGCUCUUACCCAGCAAGACAAAGCCAGAGCUGGCUCCUAUACAAAGGGAAUUUAAAGCUUAGUAAGGAAGCAGGGCUGACUGCUAAUGUGGAGGAUGGAUGAGGAAGAUGUCUCUGUGGCUUGAUAUACCAAACUCCACAGAGCUCAUCCAGAGAGAUUCUGGAGAGACAGAGUCCUUUGAGUAUUCUCUGCCAGACCUCUGCCAAAAACUGAGACCAAGUCACCAUAUGCUGCCUAUUACAGGGGUAAUUCACAUGAAUGCCAUGUGAACUAAUUUCUUGCCAUCUCUUCUUGACCUUGGGCAAGUCACCAGGUCUCCAUGGGUUUUGUGGUAGCUUCUUCCUCUCUCUGACUGGGAUGUGCAAGCCAGGGGUGGGAAUGGCAGUGCUACUCACUGAACUACCCUGCAGCAAGAACCAAGAGAUGUAUUUUCCCUGAAUGUCACAUGCAACAAUAGAAAAUAACACAAUAUGUAGGAAGAUUAUGUGUUUCCUGGGUUGUUGGAGGGCUGAUAGUUUCAAGCACAGUACAAAUAGGCAUAUUCCUUGAGCAUUUUCACUUUAGGCUAUUUGGAAAUGUGUCAUUUAAAAUGUGGAAUCCUGGCAUAAGAUUUUCACACUGAAAUUUUUUCAAAACUAUCUAAAAUGUGUCUUAUUUGUGAAAAUGCAUCUUAUUAAUCCAUUGUGAUAUAAAAUAACAGCUGCUAAUAUGAUUUUAAAGUUUGUAAUAAAGUGCAUCAAAAUGUCUAUAGAAUGGAUCGUGACAGCACAGCCAACAAGCGAUAUUUCAGGGACUUUUAAUGUGUGAGUAAAAUGCCAACAUGGCAGAAAAUGAAAACUCCCAAAUGUAUCUUGUCUGAUUUUGACAUUUACUCUCCUAAUUCGGACCCCACACCCACUUGUCUCAGGAAUUUCUGUUGUUAGAAAGGAAGAGGAAGGUGAAAGUCAUUGAUGCUAAAGCCCUCAGCUGUUUGGAUGGUUUCUCACACAUUAGAGGCAGAUCUUCCCCACUGAGUCCAGGGACUCAUAUGCCAAUCUCUUCUGGAAACACCCCUACAGACACACCUGGGGCAGUGCAAUCAUUCUAAUCAAAAGUAACAAACAGCCUGAGUUUCCUUUCCAGCAGUAGAGGGAUGCGUUCAGUGCCUACUGAAACAUCAAGAAUAAAUAAUGCUUUGCCAGCUAUCUGAGCAUCCCUUCAUCCAGUCAAGUUGAUACCCAAACCAACCAUCCCACAACUUUUAGGUCUGAUUAUGUUUUAGGGUAUAUCCCCGUCCUGGGUGCUUUCAUGCGCUGGCGUUGAGUUUCUGCGGCUAUUCCAGAACCCAGCCUGAAAGAGCAGCUUAUAUUUGGCACAUGUAGUUUUCAUGACUGAGGGUCAUAAGAGGCAUGAUGCAAACCAAAUGUGACAAACAUCACAUAUUUUCAUUGGCCAAAGCAGUUACACGGACAAGCUUAAAGUCAAUGAUGUGAGACAUUACACUCUAUCCCAGAGAGCUUGACACUGAUAGAGUGAUAAUGAGUAGUAAUAAAUAGCAGCCUACCAUGGCAAUCCAUUUUGGUCACAAAAAUUUUCUCUCUUCUGCAAGUAAGAUACACUAAACUGCUUACCACAGCAUUCAAUGUCACAGUUGACUAUAGCAUUAGGUUCUAACUCCAAGAUCAAGUGAUCUACAUCAUGUCUGAAUUCAACUUCUCUUACUUCUGAAACCUAAGUACAAAAAGGACAACUUAGGUGCUUCUGUCCCCAUCUCCCAUCUAUAAUGGUGGAACAGAGUCAGUAGAACUGAAACAAACGCCCUCAUUAGAAAGGGUAAGAAUGGGAGGUUCUUUAUUGUUACUAGUUCAUAGAGAUUCUGAAAUUCCUCUGGGAAAAUAUGGUAAGGCCUCUUAUUUGGGGGUUAGCAGGUAUUUUUCUGUUAGACUCUGGUCAUGGUUCCUGGGAGUUGUUCCUGUCAAUUGUUCUCCUUGACUCUCAACUGUACUGUUUAGAUCAUCCUUCAUAUUCCAUCAUUUUCCUCAGCCAAAUCCAAAAGCAAGGCUUUCUCAGUCUGCUUCCUGCCAAUAAAAUGUUUGCAGCCCAGCUGGAUUGAACAGUUACAAUCUCUUCUUUACAGUCAUAGUCUCUUUUAAUUCAGGCUGUUGGCACUAUUGGAAAUGAAAUAAAAACACUUUUAGAAAAUGAUUCCAGCCAGUGCAGUAGCCCACACCUGUAGUCCCAGCUAUGUGGAAGGAGAGUUUGAGACCACCAAUUCAAGUCCAGCCUGGGCAACAUAGGAAACACUGCGUCUACAAAAUAUUAAAAAAGAAAAUUAGCUGGGCAUAGCAGCUCACAAUGUAGUCCCAGCUACUUGGGAGGCUAAGAUAGGUGGAUCACUUGAGCCUGGAGGUCAAGGCUACAGCCACUGCACUCCAGCCUGGGAAAGAAAGCAAGACUGUCUCAAAAAAGAAAAAAGAUUCAAUUUUCUUUUAGAGGCUUAAUGCUAAACACAUAAUGAUGAGUCCUUUGAGCUUAUUGGGAUUCUGUUGUAUUUCGCCUUAGUCUUAGUUACUGAGCCAUUUUGUCCAAUUGAAAGAGUUUAUAGAGAGCCAUGUUAAUUCAAUCAGAGCUCUCAACAAAGGUGUAUAGCCAAGGCUUUGAUUGAAUAUUUGAUCCCAAACUGUGCUUUAAUAUCCACAUCUUAUCCCUGUGGCCGUGCGCAAAUUUGAAAAUGUUUUACUAUCUGUAGAUGAGCAAUAGCUGUAACUUUCAACCCUUCAAUUCCUGAAAUUUCUGGAUUGUUAUUUUUUAUUUCACCU